ACGCUCGACACCUACGAGGCAGCAGUGGGGAAUAUUGCACAAUGGGGGAAACCCUGAUGCAGCGACGCCGCGUGGAGGAAGAAGGUCUUCGGAUUGUAAACUCCUGUUGUUGGGGAAAAAGAGGAUGGUACCCAACAAGGAAGUGACGGCUAACUACGNGCCAGCAGCCGCGGUAAUCUGAGGCGGGCGUGGCGAAGGCG
rnacentral:rRNA from 1 species